UUAUGAGCUCCACCACAUGAUAACUUUACUCUUUCCCCUGUCUUCUAGAGUAGUCGUUUUUUUUCCUGAUUGGGAAUCUCUUCCAUGUUUAAAGCCUCACGCUGCCAUCAACAAGCCCUAGUACUCUCUCUCCCUCUUCCAAUUUCUCUGACCGCCUCCUUGAUGUCAUCGCACUUCUGUUUCAAAGAUGGAGACUCAAAACUGCUCGGAAAAGCGAUAACGAGUCUUAUUCAGAUACAGAAUUCGUUUUCUGAAGAUUGCAGAUGGCAGUCCAAUAAGCUGUGUGGCGGUAUUUUGGUUAUCGUAGUCUAUCAACGACCUGGCUCUACUAUUGUUGGAACUCAGCACCAUUCGACCUUGAUUUCUGUGUUUAAUGAUAUGUGCGCCCAAGAUAAGAAAUUUCGGUAACUGCUACUGCCACCUAAAUCGAGUAGAUUUUGGGUUUGACAAUUGCUUUUGCCGCAUGAAUCGAGUAUAUUAUCAGUUUGGCAACAGCUAUUGUCACCUGAAUCGAGUGGAUUUUGGGUUUGACAAUUGCUUUUGCCGCAUGAAUCAAGUAGAUUAUCAAUUUACAACGGCUAUUGUCACCUAAAUUGUGUCGAUUUGUGGUCGGUAAUUGUUACUGACGUUUGAAUUGAAUUGGUUAGGGAUAUAUUGAUUCUUUUUGCAACUUGAAUCACUCCAGUGACUCAAAUAGAGUUUUUUUUAACUAUAUUUCAUUGAAUUGAGUCUGUAUGAGUUUGUUACAGGAAUUAGUAUUUUCUGGAAAUGAUAUUCGUUCUAUUAGUCUUGAAUUGGGUUAGUAUUCUGUACUUAACGCAAGUUAUGUAUGCUGAAAAACGGUAUAUAUUAUGAAUGGCAUAUGCAAAAGACGGGUGUAUAUUAUUGGGGCA